rnacentral:misc_RNA from 1 species
GUUUUCCUCAGCUUGCAGAAUUACUACUCAUGGCAACAUGGGCAGCAACACGGUCAUGCAAAUUACUAUUUGUUGUUGACUUUUUCCUAUAACUUUUGAGCAUUCGUCUUGUUUAAAAAAUUAUGCAAGUAUCAUUUAUUUUGUUUGACUGACUUUAUUGGUGCUUUAACCAUGAUUUAUCAUUUCAUAUAUUUGGGCUAAAUUUUUGAAUGAGAUGAAUGGU